GUUCUCGAGAGGUUGACUCAAGCUGGACUGCUCUCUAACUCAUCAGACAUAAUCCAUAGGUUUAGUACGGAUAGACGUCGUUUCGAGUGUCGCGCGCGUCCACUUCGAUGAAACGUUGCUGGUGAAAAAUUGAAAAGCAACACGUUGUGGUCGAGCUUCGCGAAAAUAGUGGACAAAGAGGAGAUUAUGGAAAUACGAGCAACGAUUGGCUAAUGACGAAAACGAUUAAGGAGAAGAACAAGACGGUGUGUUGAAAUAAUUUAAAACGCGAAUUCUAAUCUUCUGCUAAGAAAGAGAAUGCAGAUAUAUGAUACGACUAGCUGUAUUUCAGUAGCAACGAAUGUAUCAAACAAUUUAAUUUAAAAAAUGUCGAAUGA